AGAGUUUGAUCAUGGCUCAGGACGAACGCUGGCGGUGUGCUUAACACAUGCAAGUCGAACGGAAAGGCCCUUCGGGGUACUCGAGUGGCGAACGGGUGAGUAACACGUGGGUGAUCUGCCCUGCACUUUGGGAUAAGCCUGGGAAACUGGGUCUAAUACCGAAUAUGACCAUGCGCCUCCUGGUGUGUGGUGGAAAGCUUUUGCGGUGUGGGAUGGGCCCGCGGCCUAUCAGCUUGUUGGUGGGGUAAUGGCCUACCAAGGCGACGACGGGUAGCCGGCCUGAGAGGGUGACCGGCCACACUGGGACUGAGAUACGGCCCAGACUCCUACGGGAGGCAGCAGUGGGGAAUAUUGCACAAUGGGCGCAAGCCUGAUGCAGCGACGCCGCGUGAGGGAUGACGGCCUUCGGGUUGUAAACCUCUUUCAGCACAGACGAAGCGCAAGUGACGGUAUGUGCAGAAGAAGGACCGGCCAACUACGUGCCAGCAGCCGCGGUAAUACGUAGGGUCCGAGCGUUGUCCGGAAUUACUGAGCGUAAAGAGCUCGUAGGUGGUUUGUCGCGUUGUUCGUGAAAACUCACAGCUUAACUGUGGGCGUGCGGGCGAUACGGGCAGACUUGAGUACUGCAGGGGAGACUGGAAUUCCUGGUGUAGCGGUGGAAUGCGCAGAUAUCAGGAGGAACACCGGUGGCGAAGGCGGGUCUCUGGGCAGUAACUGACGCUGAGGAGCGAAAGCGUGGGGAGCGAACAGGAUUAGAUACCCCGGUAGUCC
rnacentral:rRNA from 1 species